rnacentral:tRNA from 1 species
UCGUAGCUCAGUUGGAUAGAGUGUUUGGCUACGAACCAAAAGGUCGCAGGUUCGAAUCCUGCCGG